UGGUAAAAAGAGGAAUUUAACCCCCGUUAAUGGGACUACAGCCCACUGCCUAAACAUUCGGCCACUUUACC
rnacentral:tRNA from 1 species